rnacentral:lncRNA from 1 species
GGGAUUGGGGGCCAGGGCUGUGGGCUCCACACAGGUAUCAGCUUGCUCUAGGAGUGAAUUUAGACUUUAUAAUCCUCAUUCGACGAGCAUCAUUCAUCCAAUAAGCUCUUACUGAGCGUCUUCUUCUGUGUCAAAUGUUGUGCCAGGCUUUGGGGACACAGAUGUGAAGACAGGAUUACACAUGGAGGAACCUGGACUUUGGGGUACCUCAGGGUACAGAGUGUAAUCCCACCCCUUUAUCACCUAUGCCAAGCCAAUCAUGGAAUGGUAUGCCCCCAGCCUCAAUGAUGGCUUCCGAAGUGGGAACUUGACCUUAAGUGUUCUGAGCAGAGAAAAACCUAGGACUUUUGUCCCAUGGCAAAGGAAAAAGAGCUUUCUUCUGGAUGCUGCAGAAGGUAGAUGUGAUACCUGGCACAGCUGCAGUCAUUUUAUGACUAUGAGGAAGGCUGGAGGACAGAAAAGGAAACAGAAGAGAGAAGAGCCCUGAUCCAAUUCUGCCUACACAUGGCGGGUUGCCAGACUACAGUUUGAACAGCCUACACAUUCCUUUUAAAUAAAAGGAAGUGAUUUAAAUAAAUCAAUCUGUAGCCAAGAGCUCUAACUGAAAUGGGCAAGUAUUAUGUGCCUGCCAUUUACAUGACAAAUUUAAUUGAGUCCUCACAACAGCUUUUUAAUGUAGAAAUUGACAACCUCAUUUUACAGAUGAAAAUAUCAAACCUGGUGGUGAAAUGACUUUCUGAGGUCGCCCCAUUACAUAAGUAAGGGAUUUGGGUUCUAGAAGUUUGACUCCAACACCUUUUUGCUGCAAUACAAAGCUGCUUACUGUGUUGCAUGGGAAACUUCAUCAAAUUCUUCUCUCUCUUUGGGAUCCUCCUGGGAUUGUUUUUCCUGUUUUUGUUUUUGAAACUAGAGAAUGGAUCAAGUUUCAUUGCUGGGUUGACAAGGGCAUGCAGGGGCACAGGCCAUGUGAGGCAUGAUGCCAGACCCCAGGCCCUUGCAGAGAGUUUGGGGAAGCCUUCAGGACGUGUGGAAUUGCAGAGGCAGGACCACAAUUAGCUAGAUCUGAAGAGGCAGGGGACCCAGCUGCCAUCUGGGCUCUGAGUAGAAAAAGAGAAAUCAGAGCCUUAUAGAAAAGACAUCUGUACCUUGUUCUGCAGACAGACUUCCUGCUAUGAUGCACCUCCUUAUUUUUUGCAUACGGAGCAGGCUUGACAUUUAUGUAGAUUGAUUCCAACUUGGCAUUUUGACCAAAGGCGCUAUUAACCCUUUCCCUCCCGUCCUGGGGGAAAAAUGGCUUGUGGGGCCUGACCCACAAGUGACCCCAUCAGGCUGUUCCGGCCCUUUUCUGGCCUAGUCUCUGGCUGGGAAUGGAUGGCUUCUUUAUGACCCUGAGGAGGUAUGGCCAACAGGAAGCACAGUCGCUCUCUUCUGAGCUCAUUUUUCACCCUGGCUGGUUUUGCUGGAGAUGCAACCAAAGCUAAAUCUCAAUUUUGGGGGCAGGAGGAGCCGUCGGUGGAGUCAUCUGCACCUGGGCUGUUAGAUAAAACCUCCAUGCAGCCUCUAGAAGCCAAACUCAAGAUUUAAAGGGGAAGAGCUUUAUUUUGUUGACAAUUGCUUUACAAUUCACUUAGUAACA